rnacentral:misc_RNA from 1 species
UCUCUCUCUUAAAAUUUUCUCUCAUCCCAAACAGCUUACAGCUCUUACUUUCCGUUCAAUUCCCUCCCUAAUCUCCCAAAUUCCCUUGGUUUUUUCAUUGGCUUCAAACCCUAAAUCUGCACUUCCUCUCGCCACUUUUUAACAAAAAGGAGGCCGAAAUUUAUUCUUUGUGGGAAAAUGCCGUUCAUUUCCGAGGCGGCGAGUGCAAUCAAAAGCCGGUUCGGUUUCCAUAACCUCUCUACUUCCGAAGUGGCACCGGCGACGGUGCCAAGCCCUCCAGAUCUGCUGAAAUCGGUGUCUCGAGAGAACUCCAGCCUGUCUCUAGUUGCCGCGUCGGCAGUUCGGAGUAUAGGUGAAUGGGAGGAUGAUGCUGACAGAAUCACUGGAUCUGUUGCGCCUCAUCAGAAUCAGAGCUUUGAGUUCUGUGAGGAUCCGUCUUUCUGGAAGGAUCACAAUGUGCAGGUUAUUAUCAGAAUACGUCCACUGAGUAGUUCAGAAAUCUCUCUACAAGGACAUAGCAAGUGUGUUAGGCAAGAGAGCUGUCAGACAAUCUCUUGGACAGGGCAUCCAGAGUCACGUUUUACCUUUGAUCUCGUAGCAGACGAGAGUGUUAGCCAGGAGAAACUGUUCAAAGUGGCUGGAUUGCCGAUGGUGGACAAUUGCAUUGGAGGCUAUAAUAGUUGCAUGUUUGCAUAUGGCCAAACAGGAAGUGGGAAGACUCAUACAGUGCUUGGAGAUAUUGAGGGAGGCACUAGAAGACAUAGUGUUAAUUGUGGAAUGACCCCAAGAGUAUUUGAAUAUUUGUUCUCCAGAAUCCAGAAGGAGAAAGAAGGUCGAAAAGAUGAAAACUUAAAAUUUAUUUGUAAAUGCUCAUUUUUGGAAAUAUACAAUGAGCAGAUUCUUGAUCUUUUGGACCCAUCAUCUAGUAAUUUACAGAUAAGAGAAGAUGUGAAGAAAGGGGUUCAUGUAGAAAACCUUAAGGAGAUAAAAGUUACAAAUGCUCGAGAUGUGAUUCAACAACUUAUUCAGGGUGCAUCUAAUAGAAAAGUAGCGGCUACUAACAUGAAUUGUGCAAGUAGUCUUUCUCACAGUGUCUUUACAUGUAUCAUUGAAAGUAAGUGGGAAUCUCAAGGUGUAACUCACCACCGUUUUGCACGACUCAAUCUUGUUGAUUUAGCAGGAUCUGAGAGGCAGAAGAGUUCUGGUGCUGAAGGUGAACGUCUCAAGGAAGCUACUAAUAUCAACAAGUCUCUUUCAACAUUAGGACUUGUAAUUAUGAACCUUGUAAGUAUAUCCAAUGGAAAGUCACUCCAUGUCCCUUAUCGAGAUUCCAAGCUUACAUUUUUGCUUCAAGAUUCACUGGGAGGCAAUUCAAAAACUAUUAUAAUUGCAAAUAUUAGCCCAUCUCUUUGCUGUUCACUGGAGACAUUAAGCACAUUGAAGUUUGCACAACGUGCGAAAUUCAUUAAGAACAAUGCAAUUGUUAAUGAAGAUGCAUCAGGAGAUGUUAUUGCCAUGCGAAUGCAAAUCCAACAGCUCAAGAAAGAAGUGUCCCGCCUACGGAGUUUAGUCAAUGGGGGAGCUGAAAAUCUAGAUAAUGAUACUUCAAUUAUAAGCUGUGCAGGAUCUCCAGGACCCUUUAAAUGGGAAGGGCUUCAUGGAUCAUUUAGUCCAUUUGUGUCUGAAAAAAGGACAUCUCAGAAGAAAGACUUUAAAGUUGCCCUUGUUGGGGCUUUUAGGAGGGAAAAAGAUAAGGAUAUUGCAUUGAAGGCACUGGCAGCUGAAAAUCAAGCAGCUAUGCAGCUGGCCAAGCAAAGACAGGAUGAGAUACAAGGUCUAAAAAUGAGGUUACGAUUCCGAGAAGCAGGAAUCAAACGGCUAUAGGCAGUUGCUUGUGGAAAGAUUUCGGCUGAGACAUAUUUGUUGAAAGAAAAGGAGGAGCACCUGAAGGAAAUUGAAGUUUUACGUACCCAGGUGGAUCGGAAUCAAGAAGUUACAAGAUUUGCUAUGGAAAAUUUGCGGUUAAAGGAAGAAAUUAGAAGAUUGAAGUCAUUUUAUGAAGAAGGUGAAAGGGAGAUGAUGAGUGAACAGAUCAAUGUGUUACAGAACAAGGUGUAAAAUUUAAAUUUUUUCAUGUUUGAACCUUUCAUUCACAAUAUCCUCUCUGAAAUUUUUUCUGAUUAUACAUGUAGUUGCUUGAAGCUCUUGAUUGGAAACUUAUGCACGAAUCAGAUAGCUCGGCAGUUCAGAAAGCAGAUGUGGAUGUGAAGGCAGAAGUUCUUCAUGAUCCAGAAAUUUCUAAUAAGGAACCAGGAACACCUUGGCGCUCUUCAAUUAAUGAGGAGAAUGAAUUCCUUCGGAUGCAGGCUAUUCAAAACAAGGCAGAAAUUGACACACUCCACGAGAAGUUGGGCUUCUGCCUUGAAGAGAAAGAAAAAUUGGAAAGGCAUGCCAAUGAUCUGUUAACUAGACUUGAAGAAGAGAGAUCUCUUAGGGACCUAAAGAAAGGAAUACAGCAAAUUGAGAUUUCUCCUUUGUCAACUGUUGCAUCAGUUAUUAAUGAUCAUGGCCAAAUGGAGCUCAAAACAAUGGUUGAUGCCAUAGCUGCUGUAAGUCAAAGAGAAGCAGAAGCUCAUGAGAAAGCAAUCACACUGUCAAAAGAGAAUGAUGAGCUACAAUUAAAGCUAGAAGCUUGUGUUGAGGCAAACAAUGAAUUACAGAUAAAGUUUAAAGCCCUAAUAGAGGAAAAAAAUAGUCUCGUUGAAAUGUAUGAACGAGCUGCUUCUGAAAAUAACCAUAAAACUUUGAAUGAAGCUGAUAGUACUGAGAAAAUUGACAUGGAAGUCGAUAAUAAUGGCAUGGAAACUGUUGUUAACAACCUAAAGCACCAGCUUAUGGAAAUGCAUGAAGAGAAUGAGAAAUUGAUGGGUUUGUAUGAAAAAGCUAUGCAUGAGAGGGAUGAAUUCAAAAGAAUGCUUUCUUCCAGUAGACAGAACAGAGUUGAAUAUAGAGAACUUGAUUGCCCAGAAAAGCUUGUUGAAGUUGAUGGAGGUAAACAUCCCGACUUGUGUGUGCUUCCAAUGCACCCUGAAGCAAAUGGAUUGGAGGAAAAUGACAAGGUAUCUGCUUUAGCUGAUGAGACAAAUAUUUAUGCUGAAGGAGUUCUUUUCUCCGGCUCUGAUGAUGUGCUCAAUGGACCUAGCCUAUUUCAUGGGGAUUGUCAAGUGGAAGUAGAAAGUCAGACUGGUUCUGUGACAUUUGAUGAUUCAGAAGCAGAGCCAUUAGAUCUGACUGCAGUCAAGGUUUCAGAUGAUCUAAAUGUGCUUAAAAUGAAGCUGGAAACAGCAGAGCAAAAGGUUUCAGAUUCUGUCAAAACCCUCACAGACCUUGGUUCACUUGAGAAAGCUUUUGGGGAGUUUGAUAAGCUUUGGAGGGAAAUUGAAGCAGCAGAAGGGGGGUUUCAGGUCAAGCAGCAAAAGUAUAGAUCCUUGGAACUCCUUUCUUCAGAAAUGCAAGAAAGAAAAGCUCUUGUAGAUAAGAAGUUGUCAGCGCUCAAGUACUCUCUGUCAAACUUUUCUCAAUCAGUUGUUUACUUUGAACAGCGAGAAGGUCGAGCAAGAGCAAGGGCAAGGGUGAAUGCUUCAUCAACUAACCUGGACCGACAAAAAGAGGAAUUGGCCUGUCUUCAAAUCUGCAAAGGUGAAGUUGAGGAUGCCUUGAGGAAGACUCAACACGCUGAAGUUGAGCUAAGAGACAACCUUGCGAUUUUGAAAACCAGACUUGAGGAAGAGAACCACAGGCAAGAGAAUGAAAAGGUUCUGUUUGCCAUAGAUAACAUUGACAAAGUAGAUACCUCAAGGAAAACUUGGCAUUUAGGAGGUAAAGCAACUGAUUUGUUGAAGUCUGAAGAAGAGAAGACCAAAGUGCAAACUGAGAUAAAGCUGUCCCGAGAGAAACUUCGUCUCGUAAGAAGUGAGCUUGAAGAUUUGCACAAGAAGUCUGCGAAGAUAGAGAAUGAGAUGCAAGCUGUCCAAAUGGACAUACAAAAAGGGUAAAAGAUCGUGGAGGAGAUGGAACUUGCAUUGCAGGGUGUAAACCAAGAAAAGGAAACUCUCUUGGAGAUGGGAAAGAAUGGAAUGUCUGAAUUUCAAACUAUGAUUCUUGAAUAUCAGCAGCAUGUGUUUGAUGUAGAUUUGAAGGAAGUGGAGAUGAAGAUAUUAGAAGAAGAAUUGCUGCCAGAGUUAAGAAGAAUAGAAGAAUUGAGAACAGUAAGGGUAGCAGCAGCUGAGAAGGUGAUAAAAUUGAUGGAAGACAGAAGUUGCUGCUUAUCUGAAAAAAUGGAAAAAGAACUGUUAAAUGUUUGGGCUUCACUGGUUGAGGCAAAGAAAUUAUUACUAGGGAAUGGAAAUUCAGAUCACUGUUAGCUGUUUGUUUAAAUAUUGUUUCAUUCACAUCUGUACAGAAAGGUCACUAUCUUGAUGUCCUGUUGAUCACAUCUGUUCAUGUUUUGUAACUGGGAUAGCUCAGGGUUAUGUGUGUAGUAACCAGGCAUUUCUUCUACUGGUCUGAACUGAACCAAAUUAGAAAGAAAAAGUAAAUCAUUCAAUUCAGC